rnacentral:misc_RNA from 1 species
AAAAAAAAAAAGGAGUUUUUAAACUGUACAAUCAUUUUAGACUACAAGUGCACAAAUUAUCCAUGAGACGAAUGAUUUUGUAGAGACUAGAGAGGAUGACUGUUUUGUAGUCUUGUAUUUUUAUGGAUACAGAAAUCAUGUGUUGGUCACUGCUCAAUUCCCCUCCACCACCCACACACACACAUUUCUGUGAUCACACACGCACAUAUAUAUAAUUCUGAUAAAUGAGGUUAAGCAAGUGUUAGAGAGACCUUUCCAGAAUUCCAGUAUUGUUUUGGAAGUAGAUUGAUCUUAUGGUUUUACUCAUCGCAAUCAAGUAUAUUUCAUUCUUUUCGC